AUUCAAUCAACAGUUCUAGCCAAAAGGUAAGCACAGCAUUAUGUAGCAUGAAGUGAUUUGUUCUAAGCCAGAAGUUAAGAAAAUCUCUCAUUUAGUCAGUUUUGAAUCAAGUGUGGAGUCUGAUGUAUGGAAAUAGAAGCAAACUUGUACUCUUACUCAAUUGCUUAAGUGUUAAAAGGGCACUUCUAGGCAGCGUAACCUCUUUGGCUCAUUGAAG